rnacentral:tRNA from 2 species
GUAAGUAUAGUUUAAUUCAAGACAUUAGAUUGUGAUUCUAAAAAUAGAGGUUAAAAUCCCCUUACUCACC